rnacentral:rRNA from 1 species
AAAGCAAUCAGUGGAUGCCUAGGAUUUUUGGGCCGAAGAAGGACGCGGAAGACUGCGAUAAGCACCGGGUAGGUGUCAACAACCUUUAAUCCGGUGAUGUCCGAAUGGGGAAACCUGCUUUAUCUUUAGAUAAAGCUUUUUAAGACUAAUUCAUAAUCUUAAAAAGGUAACCUGGGGAACUGAAAUAUCUAAGUACCCAGAGGAAUAGAAAUCACAGAGAUUCCCUUAGUAGCGACGAGCGAAACGGGAACAGCCUAAACCUUAAGUUUUCUUAAGGGGUUGUAGGACCUUAAUAUGAGACUUUUUUAAAUAGAAGAAUGUUCUGGAAAGGACAGCCAAAGAAAGUGAUAGCCUUGUAUUUAAAAUUUAAAAAAGCUCUAAAGGAUUCCUGAGUACCACAGGAGACGGCAAACUCCGGUGGGAAUCUGGGGGCGACCACGCUCCAAGGCUAAAUACCCAAAAAUACCGAUAGUGAACUAGUACCAUGAGGGAAAGGUUAAAAGAAGGGUUAAUGACCCAGUGAAAUAGAACCUGAAACUGUUUGCUAACAAACAGUCGGAGUCCAUUUUUUAAUGGAUGACGGCGUGCCUAUUGAAGAAUGAACCGGCGAGUUUCUCGUUAACUGUUAGUCUAACCAAUUUUAUUGGGAAGGCGUAGUGAAAGCAAGGCUUAAAUGGCCAUUUAGCAGUUAGCGGAAGACCCGAAACCAGGCGAGCUACCCAUGGACAGGGUGAACCUUGUAGAAAUACAGGGGGAGGCCCGAACCUAUUGCUGCUGCAAAAGCAUUGGACGAUCUGUGGGUAGGAGUAAUAUGCUAAGCGUGCCUGGAGAUAGCUGGUUCUCCCCGAAAUAUAUUUAGGUAUAGCGUCUUAGAUUAAACCAAAGGGGUAGAGCACUGGAUAAAUAUGGGGUAUUUAUAUCUCAUCUUUAACCAAACUCCGAAUACUUUGGCGUUACUAAGGCAGUCAGCGGCUGGGGGCUAAGCUCCAGUUGCUAGAGGGAAACAACCCAGACCCUCGUUUAAGGUCUCUAAUUUUUGGUUAAGUCAAAGGAAGUCAUUGAUCUCAGACAGCCAGGAGGUCGGCUUAGAAGCAGCCAUCCUUGAAAGAAAGCGUAACAGCUCACUGGUCGAUUUGGAUUGAUGGCGCCUAAAAUUUAAGAGAAUUAAACCAAAAACCGAAAUCAGGGUUCAAGUUUAACUUGAAGGUAGGGGAGCGUUCUAUGUUUGUUGAAGCUAAAUUGGAAAGUUUAGUGGAGAGCAUAGAAGUGAGAAUGCCGGUAUGAGUAGCGCAAUUCUGGUGAGAAACCAGAACGUCGAAUGUCUAAGGUUUCCUCAGCAACGUUUGUCGGCUGAGGGUUAGUCGACCCUAAGGGGUAGCCAAGAGGCGGACCCGAUGGAUAACAGGUUGAUAUUCCUGUACUAUUAUUAUUUCGUUAUCACUUAUGACAGGACGAUAAGGGAAAAAUGAGCGGUGCGUUGAAGUUGCAUUCGUUCAAUUAACAAAACAGUUUUAACAGGAAAAUCCGUUAAAACGACGUUGAGUUAAAAUAAAAAGAUUUACUUUUAGUAAGUCAAUUCAAAAAUUUUCUUUAUCCGAGAAAAGUGUCUUAAGGAGAAAUAAUGGUAAUCGUACCGCAAACCGACACAGGUGGACAGGUCGAGAAGACCAAGACGAACGGGAAAACUGUCUCUAAGGAACUCGGCAAAUAAGCUGGACGUAACUUAGGGAGAUGUCCUACCUAUAAAGCUUUAGCUUUAUAGGUCACAGCAAAAGAAUCUCAAGCGACUGUUUAACAAAAACACAGGUCUCUGCAAAGGCGAAAGCCAAAGUAUAGGGGCUGAAACCUGCCCAGUGCCGGAAGGUUAAUAGAGGGUAUAGCUAGUUUACUAGUAGUGUCCGAUUGAAGCCCCGGUGAACGGCAGCAGUAACUAUAACUGUUCUAUGGUAGCGAAGUACCUUGUCGGGUAAGUUCCGACGCGCACGAAAGGUUCAACGACUUGAGAACUGUCUUGGGGACAGACCCGGCGAAAUUGAAAUGGCUGUGAAGAUGCGGCCUACCUACUGCAGGACAAAAAGACCCCGUGGAGCUUUACUGUAACUUGGCACUGAAAUCAAUUUGUCAAUUGUCGAGAAUAGGCAGGAGGUUUGGUCAUUGAUCAAACCGAUAGUGGAAUACUGCUCUUUGGCAGUUUGCUUUCUAACCUAAAAACCCUUUAAGGGGUUUGGGGACAGUGUCUGGUGGGCAGUUUAACUGGGGAGGUUGCUUGCUAAAAAGUACCGCAAGCGCACAAAGGUAGCCUUAGCUUGGAUGGAAACCAAGCUGUAAGUGUAAAGGCAUAAAGGUUGCUUAACUGUUAGGCAUACUAGCCAAGCAGGAACGAAAGUUGGUCUUAGUGAUCCUCGAGUGCCAUGUGGAAGGCACCGGGCUUAUCGGAUAAAAGCUACCCCGGGGAUAACAGNNNNNNCCAAGGGUUGGUCUGUUCGCCCAUUAAAACCCUACGUGAGCUGGGUUCAGAACGUCGUAAGACAGUUCGGUCUCUAUCCGCAGUAGGCGUAGGAUACUUGAAGGAAUUCGUCCACAGUACGAGAGGACCUGGAUGAGCUAAUCCCUGAUGUGCCAGUUGUUGCUGUCAAGCGCAUAGCUGGGUAGUCACAUUGGUUGUGGAUAACCGCUGAAAGCAUCUCAAGCGGGAAGCCAUUCCUAAGAUGAGGUAUCCUUUCUGGCUUUGCCAGAUGAAGAUCCCUGGAAGAUUACCAGGUAUAUAGGCUGAAAGUGUAAGUAUAGUAAUAUAUUUAGCUAAUCAGUACUAAUAGAUCGAAAGAGUAACUGU